rnacentral:rRNA from 1 species
UACGUAGGGUGCGAGCGUUGUCCGGAAUUAUUGGGCGUAAAGAGCUCGUAGGCGGUGUGUCGCGUCGGCCGUGAAAACCUGCAGCUUAACUGUGGGCUUGCGGUCGAUACGGGCAUCACUGGAGUUCGGCAGGGGAGACUGGAAUUCCUGGUGUAGCGGUGAAAUGCGCAGAUAUCAGGAGGAACACCGGUGGCGAAGGCGGGUCUCUGGGCCGAGAUUGACGCUGAUGCGCGAAAGCCAGGGGAGCAAACGGG